AUAACCUCUUGAAUGCAAUAGCUCAUAGCACUUUAAUUUGGCAAGCCAUUUUUCCUGUUUUAUUAUAAAUCUAUAUUAGAUGUUUGAAUAUGGUUUGAAAUAUUUCACUACUGUGCUGAAAAAGAUUGGUUGAUAGCAGCUUGGAGUGCUAACUGGAAGAUCAAAAUCAUGUCUCUUGCUGAUAACCUAAGAGCAUUAAGCUCUGAGUCCAGUGAGGUCAUAGCAGUGUAUGCUCCUUGCCCUUACGGAGUGUCUGUUUUUAGAAAUUUAGAUUUUAAAAGGCGUGGGACAUACGACCAGGCCCUAUAGCCACAUAAAUAUAAAUUUCAUAGAAAAAGAAUAAAAGCGGAGAUAUAUUUUUUGACACAGAGGCACCCAAAGAAAUACAAACAUUGCCUAGCUGCUGCCAUUUCUGUAACUGCCCAGAAGGGUGACAGAUUUCUGAAGGGGAAAGGAUUCAGAUAUGACCUUUUCUUUAGUCCCAACCACUAGUUUUAACAAAUGUGAAUUAUUGAAAUGUGAAGGGACAAAAAGAAUCAUACAUUUAAACUGUCUUGUUCAGCAUACCAAUAUUGUAUGUUACAAAUCAUCAUUUCUAAAUCUGGAUUGAUUCUGUUGUGUUUUUGACUGUUUCUAAAGUAAGUGUGUAUAAAAGUUGUCUCCUUUUUAAAAAGAUCAUAUUUUUAAAUAAAGCAUUUUUUGUAGAAAAAAAAAAUUGGCCAUAUAAGUUUGCACCUCAG
rnacentral:lncRNA from 1 species